rnacentral:rRNA from 1 species
CCUACGGGUGGCAGCAGUGAGGAAUAUUGGUCAAUGGACGAGAGUCUGAACCAGCCCAGUAGCGUGAAGGAUGACUGCCCUAUGGGUUGUAAACUUCUUUUAUAUGGGAAUAAAAUGUUCCACGUGUGGGAUUUUGUAUGUACCAUAUGAAUAAGGAUCGGCUAACUCCGUGCCAGCAGCCGCGGUAAUACGGAGGAUCCGAGCGUUAUCCGGAUUUAUUGGGUUUAAUGGGAGCGGAGGUGGAUUGUUAAGUCAGUUGUGAAAGUUUGCGGCUCAACCGUAAAAUUGCAGUUGAAACUGGCAGUCUUGAGUACAGUAGAGGUGGGCGGAAUGCGUGGUGUAGCGGUGAAAUGCUUAGAUAUCACGAAGAACUCCGAUUGCGAAGGCAGUUCACUGGACUGCAACUGACACUGAGGCUCGAAAGUGUGGGUAUCAAACAGGAUUAGAUACCCUAGUAGUC